rnacentral:rRNA from 1 species
GCAGUCUGCAACUCGACUGCAUGAAGCUGGAAUCGCUAGUAAUCGCAGAUCAGAAUGCUGCGGUGAAUACGUUCCCGGGUCUUGUACACACCGCCCGUCACACCAUGGGAGUCGGGAAUGCCCGAAGUCAGUGACCCAACCGCAAGGAGGGAGCUGCCGAAGGCAGGCUCGAUAACUGGGGUGAAGUCGUAACAAGGUACC